UAUUCUUGAAUAUCCAGAUAUUUUGAUAUUUUCCAUUAGGAACAGCUAAUGAUCAAAUCAAAUCAUUCUCACGUUUAUGCUUUCCUCCAUUUUGAUAUUUUCCAUUAGGAACACAGCACACUUCUGGGUGUGACUGUGAAGGUAUUUCAAGAAAUUUUUGUCAGGUUGAGGGAAGUGAGUCAAAGAUCCAGCCUGAAUAUGAGCAAAAUAGUAGGAGAAACCAUCAUCUCUUCUCUCUCCACUUCCCCACUUGACCAAGUGCACUGACCCACUUGACCACUGUUCCCUGUGUGUGCCAAAUACUAGGUUUCUUAGAUUUUGAAUGUGAACUUGCACUAGUGAACCUUCAGAGACUUUCAGACCUAAGGAUACAAACAGGGGAGCAUACUGUGCAUUUUCUACCCCACAACCCCCACCUUCUUGUACUGAGUAACUACCAGUUUCCCUGGUUAUCCUGAGUGAAAAUAGUCAUUGGUGAACAUUUCAGCCUGUGUGACUUUG
rnacentral:lncRNA from 1 species